rnacentral:rRNA from 1 species
UACGUAGGGGGCAAGCGUUAUCCGGAUUUACUGGGUGUAAAGGGAGCGUAGACGGAUUAGCAAGCCUGAUGUGAAAGGCAGGGGCUCAACCCCUGGACUGCAUUGGAAACUGCCAGUCUUGAGUGCCGGAGAGGUAAGCGGAAUUCCUAGUGUAGCGGUGAAAUGCGUAGAUAUUAGGAGGAACACCAGUGGCGAAGGCGGCUUACUGGACGGCAACUGACGUUGAGGCUCGAAAGCGUGGGGAGCAAACAGG